UGGGAGCUCAUCCUUGGUACAUGGCGGUCUCUCCUCCCAGCAUUGUGGAUCCUUCAUCGCAACACGAGGGCGCUGUUCGAUCCAACGCUGGUGGCCACUCCUAUUUACCUCCCUCUCAUGCAAGCGUCCAGGUUUUCAAGAUAGAUGGUCCUCGCUUCAUCAAGCUAAACGAAGGAACUUGGCACGCUGGUCCUCUCUUUGGUGAUCGAGAUUCGAUGGUCUUCUACAACUUGGAGCUCAGUGACACCAACGUAAGAUCAUUCGAUCGAGCUUGUAUGACUUAUGUUUUCUCCCUUUUUAUGUUCUUUUUAUUUGCAGGUUGUGGAUCACACUACCCACGUGUUUGAGGACGACGUACUGAUCGAAGAUUGAGGUACAGAGCCUUGGCAUUUCAUGUGAUAUUCGAACGUGAUUUUUGUGCUAGGUGAUGGCGAGCUUAAACACUUUUUUGCGUGUCUAGAAAAGCAAAUGGUGGAAAUGAAACAAGUUCUUUGCGAGCUAAGAAUUUCAUGUCCCUUGCCAUCAAGUUGUCGAGGAGCUCCUUUUGUGCCUCGGGACAUUGACUAGUAGUUACAAAAGGAGGCUGAUGAUCCUGGUCGGAAGAAAAUUUACGAACGGGAUGACUCCCACAGACCAUGGCGUCAACUCCCUGGUAUAAAUCUUUCUUAAUUGAACUGUAACACUGUUAGAAUUCUGUGCAGGGUGCUGAUUAUGGUCGAAAGCCGCCUGCUUUCUGUCGAACACGAGCGAGCGGAUGUUGAGAGUAUUCAUGUAAUUUGCCUCCUGCCAGUCCAGCUCGCUACUUCCGCCAAGAACUCGGGUUCCCUCAGUCAACAGCAAGAUGGAAAUGUUCCAGAAGUCUUUCUUCUUGAUGUCGGUCACAAACUCGAGCGGUGGAUGAUAUCCUUUGAAAGGUUUUGCUGCUCCUGAAACUUCUUGUAUUUCACCUCUUCGUGGUUCUGAUUCUAAUAAUGUAACUUUCGUGACAGCGGAAAAGUACGAACUCUAUGCUUGGAAAGUUUCAAAACAGCGUAGUGGUGACCACAAUUUCAGAAAGGAGAUCUUCUAUGAAGUAAAGGAAGCUUUAUUUUUCAUGUUGAUUCAUGUUUUCUUUCCUAUUUAGCGUUCUGUUAGUGAAUUACAAUUGCGUAAGCGAAGUUGCUGCGAGUUCGGAUCUCCUAUGAAGUAAGCUUCUUCUUCUUUGGAUGUUGAUUGAUUUUUUUCUUUCUUUUUUUAGAGUUUACGUGAGCAAGUUGCUGAAACUGAAUUUGUAUUUUCUUCUUUACAGCAUGACACAUUCGAGGUAUGAUUUUUGGUUUUUUUUUGGAAAAGGUGAAGCUACAGCCUAUGUAAGUUCAAUAGGGCGCUGUUGACGAGCUCCUCGAGGCUUCUGGAAUGCUUGGUAAGUCCCACAAAACCCGAAAACGUUAAGAAGUUUUCUUCGUCUGAGGCAGUCGCUGACAUUGCUUCCAGGGACGUCUCCAUUUCACCGUCUUCUCUAAAACGUCGCAAGAACCUGGCGUCCUUUGCCAUCAAGCUGUUCAGAAGCUCUACGCUAUAUCGCCGGAUACGAUUCAAGCUCCUAGAAGGUGCUGUCUGGGAUAGAAGCUCUGUGAUUUUUUCGCAAAGCCGUUGUUCAAAGUUACGUGUGUCGAGCCAGGGGAUUAUGGCUGCUGCCAAACCGAUGGCUGCCUGCUGUUCCUUGUCUGUGGAUUCCAGCACCAUCUGGAUGAUGGGAGAUAUGGCUGCUCCAAGCUCCAACUUUUCUUCGUCGUUAAGCUCACCGCACAAGCUUCGCAAAAUUGUGGCUGCAUGGACUCCAAUUGGCUUGGUGAGCAUGUUGAUCAAGCUCUUGAGGGUCUUGCUAACGCCACCUUGGCUGUAGCUUUUGCGCCUGAGGAGCCUCGAGCAAUUGUUGGGACACUGGAGGACGAGCAAAAAUAUGGCUUCCCCGGCUCUCAUGGCGAUGCUCAACUGGUGGCUGUUCGGUGCGGUUUCUCUCGCAAAUAUGGCCAUCAAGCUUUGGAUAACUCCUCCAGUUGCACCAAUGCAAUCUCUAAGCUCGUCCUCGGUUGCUAACAGCUUGAUCACGUCUACUGCCAGGUCCUGUAGCUCCAAAUCUUCGAGAUUGCAUAUCCUUUGAAGACUUCUUACUGCUGACACUACCGACACUAUCUUCUUUCGCAGAGACCGUCCAGAAUCUCCUCCCGCGCCAGCCAAUGUCCUCAAAAGCUCGAGUGAUCGACGGAAUACUUUUCUCGACGUUCGUACUUCGAGGAAGUUCCAGUCUUCGUCUUGGAUAAACGCAACCAGGAUGGAGAUAAGUCCGCUGGUGUUACCGAUUCGCACGCAUGUCCUGUGGUCCACGGCUAGCCUGUUGAGGAUAGCGAGUCCGUAUCUCUGUUCUUCUGGCACUAUCUUCUCUCCUGCGGUUAAAAGGGAAAUGAUGGCUUCCAGGGAUCCAGGGAUAGCGGAAAUCCUGAAGCAGUUACUCCGGUGACGAAGCAGGUACUUGAUUACUAUCGUUGCAGCUUUCCUGAUUUCGGCCUCACUAAGAUCCUUCCAGGUGAUCAUCUCUAAGAGUCUCUCCACAACUCCACAACUACACAGGAGGAAGAAAGAAAAGGUAGAGAAGAAAGUGAAGAAGAAUCAAUGAAGAAGACGAAGAAAGGAGCUAAUUACUUCUGUCCGUGAAGAUGAGUGGAGAGAGCAACUUCAAAGAGCUAAAACUUUCACAUGACAAACGGUCAGACGAGAAACUGGAGCACUAGUGCUGCGAUUCCAGAUUGAUCAAUGUUGUUUGACAACAAUGAUCUGACACACACAAGACUGUUUUCUUCGUCUCGGUAGCGCCCUUUCUACUGUUGCACAACAAACUAUUGCACAGCCGUGGAAGGGAAUAAUAGUAUAUAGAAACCUGUUGUAUCUCGUACUCUUGCUCUAUAAAUUCUCCAUAAACUUAAAGCUUCUUCUUCCAGGCCUAGAGAAAAGUCGGCUUCAAACACACGGCAUGGCCAUCUUUUUGUGUGUACUGUGCAGAACUCUCCCUUUCAACCAGGUCUUAUAGUUUGCCACUUACUAAGCUUAGGUGGUGGGAAAGAAAAAACUGGAGUAGUGAUGUUUCUAUCUUAUACUUAAGAACCUUGUGUUGGCUCGAGGAGUAGUACUACGAAGUGGUGUAACAAACGCAAAGCUUGGACAGGGCAGAUUGCUACUGAACACUAUUGCCAUUGCCACAAGCCUCAAAUUUGCAGGGCAAACUUUCUUUUCCUUCUUGUGAAUAUUACAAUUUUCUUUCAUUGUGCAAGAUAAAAAUUAAGUUAUACCUCCCAAUAUAUAGAUAUUUAUAUAUAAAAAACUUUUUAAUACAACUAAUUCAAUUACACAAAAUCUUUGUUUGCUUUUUUUGAUGACAUGCAUCAUAAACAUGCCCCUAAUUGAUCUUGUUGUACUCAUUAUCACCAUUUAAAUAGAUGAAUAUCAAAUCAUUUAAAGUUUCAAUAUUUAAAUAGCAUUUUGAAGUAGUUUUUAACUGAUUUUGAUAAGAAAAUCCACCUUCAGCACAAGUAGUGCUCACAGGUAUCAAAGAGAUAAUUUUGCAUAAUUCUAUCAAAUUAAAACAUAUAUCUAUCAUGGAAAUAUCAUCUCUGCAUAUUUGCCAAGCGACUAGCUUAUUUUUUGUUAACAGAUUACUUUGCAUAAUAGUUACAAACUUUGUGAAUUCUCCUUUACAUUUUUCCCCAUCAACAAAAGCACCAUAUUAGUUCAGUAAAAUAUUUAGCCAUUUGUAAAAGUUGUUAUCCAAUUUUUCCUUAUCAUUUGAAUAAUUCUUUGGGCUGAACAGUUUUGUAGUAUUAAAUAUGCCUAUAUCUUUUCCCAUUCUAGCUAACAUAUCAAUGUAUAGUUUUUGAACACACUCCUUAUUUAAAUUUAAGUAAGAGCUUAAGCUCCCAUCUCCUUUGCUCUCUAGAAUAGAAGUAUAAUUUAAGACAUGCUUAUGUUAUUCCUUUUCAGCAUUUAUAAACUUGAUAAAUUCAUCUUUAGUAACCUCCACAAAAUUACUCAAGUGUUUCACACUAAGAGUCUCUUUCAGAAAUUUUCUUUUGAUACUUUUCAAAGUACCAUAUAAUUACCCAACAAUGCUAGCAAUAUCCACAGUUUCAACUUUAAAAGAUUUUGUUCAAACUAUUUAAUUCCAGAAGUAUAUUAGGUAGCAUAUGAAUAAAUGAUCAAUCUUUUUAAAACUUCCCCAUGAAAUAAUCAACGUACACUGUGGAUUUGAAGCAUACCUAAUGUAAAUAUAUUUAUAGCAUCUUCUAGAGGCCUAAAAGCCAUGACUCUUUUUCUAAAAGUAUGCAACCAUUUAUAAAUUUGAUUGCAUAGCUUUUGAACAAUCAUAAGUUUAAAAAAUGCAUGCACAACUUCAAUAGCCACUAAACUUUAUUUAUGUGUUAAGUAAUGCACUCCAAGCAAGUGUGGAAUGUUAUGUUUCAAUAUUGUCACUAGACCAAAUUAUUUUCCAACCAUAAUAAAAGCUCCAUCAGUUUCAAUAACAACACAUUUUCCCUUUUUAAAGUUCAUUUCUUCCAAAACCUUUUUGAUGGCUUCAUAUUUAUUUACAACCUUUAGUUACCAUCAAUUUGAAAAAGUAAGUUUUAUUCAGACUUUUUUCUUUUUCUUGCAUAUGGAAAGAGAUGUAUAUGAUAAGAUGAGAUUCCAAACUUUUAUCAGUAUUGUUAUCCACCAUAAUAGAAAAGUAAGGACUAGCUCAAAUAUUUUGGCAAACAUCUUUCCAUCACAUAUCUUUUUUGCAUUUUACAAACUUUUUUCCACUCAUAGCAUUCAUAUAAGCCUUAUACUCUAUGGUGAUUGGCAUAUAGGGCAUUUCUAUAAACCUAUUAAAUUCACACAAAGAUUUAUAGCUUUGUAAAGGUAAUCCUUUAUUCACAAUGAAGUACAUGUGUUGCAUUAAGGAAAUCAAUUUAUUUUUGUGUUGAUCUUUUUGAGCAGUAAUAUAUUUAAGGAUAGAUAACCCUUUCUUUUUUCUUUACUUCCCAAAUAACUAUAGCUAAUUGAUGUUAUUUGGAAUUAUUAUGCUAUUUUAAAAUUGGUUUUUGAAAAGUCAAAGAACCAUCCUUACCAAAAAAAUUAUACUUUUUAGCAUAUACAUAUAUCAUACAUUUUAUUUUUUAAUUGCCUUCAACAUCUAUCACAAGAUACACCCAAGGAAAACUAAGUUUCCACUCAAUUCUGAAUGUUUUAUUCUUUUUCCUCUUUUUAUUGGUUGUAGUAUUAGUUUCUUUUUCUGUUGUUGAAAGAUCUUCAUCCUCUGAUCUAAUUUUAAAUCCUUCACCAAAAAGGGAAUUAUAAAGCUUUUGCCUUGCAAUAUUUUGUUAAUUUAUAUUUUUUUUUUCCCUCUCAUAGGCAAUAGCAAAAAAUGCUUCAAUCCUAUGUUGUUGCUGUCACUAUCGCUGCUUUCCCAUUUGCCCUAGUCCUAAUCCAUGUCAACUUCAUUGAAUUCAGGUGGUUAGACAUCAGGAUAUUUUUACAAUAUUUUUAAUAAUAUUAGAUAGAAUAUUAUCUAUACUGCAAUGUAAGAAUUUUCUUUGCCCUGCAAGUGGCAACUAAAAUAUUUCUAUACUUCAUUAGUACAAAGUGAAAAUUGAACAUUUCUUUCAAAUAGCAAGGCAAAUUAGAAAUCAGUCUUCAAAUGCAAGGUAAACAUGCCUUUGCAGGGCUUUGCAGGGCUUUGUAGGGUGGAAAUUUGAGGCCUACAUUGUCUCCCUAAAUGUGAUUUGGGUGCCAUAGUUCUAAAGAGAUUGUUGCUAUAGAAGAGCUUACAAGGAUGUUGAGAUAUUGCUGUAAGUUCCUUCAUGCACUUCACAGUGAUAGUAAAUGCCUUGUGAUGGCAUCUUAAACUCGUACCAUGGCAUCUGCAUUGCCAGUUCAAAGAUUAAAUGGCCCACAACCAAGAACAAAGUGAAGAAAAUGAGAAAACUCUAAGAAUGUUGCUGUCCCCUUAAGUUUCUCUGGCCAUAAAUUCGCUGCUACAAUAGCUUAUGUCCUUUCUACGCUUUAAGUUUCAGUGCCCGUAGCGGAUAGAUGUCGUUUGGACACUGUUGACCACAAUUGACUAUCGUUGACCAAUGGACCGUUGACUUGGCUGACUAUGCUGGGUUCGAUUCCUGCGCUGGGCGAUAUUGCCAGGGCUAGGGUUCUUCGAUGGGGCUCAAGCUGCGAGCAGUGCCGAUCACGGAGGAUAAUUUCCGGCCUUGGCCAGCUCCUGGGAAAGAUCGGCGACGGAUGCGAGUAUGGAUCGGGAGACGCGCAGCUCAAUCUCGCGAAUGGGAUUCCCAGGUAGUGCAGGCAAAAUGUGGCCGAAAUUUCCAGCGGCUCGGUAGUGAUUGAGUGAGUGAUGGUUCCUUUGCGCAGAUUCUACCUCAUGGAGCUCAAGAAAACGGGGCUGCGAUUCAAAAGGAUAACGCAUCACGCCAGGGUCACGCAGUGUCUGGGAUCAGUGGGAGCUCAUCCUUGGUACAUGGCGGUCUCUCUUCCCAGCAUUGUGGAUCCUUCAUCGCAACACGAGGGCGCUGUUCGAUCCAACGCUGGUGGCCACUCCUAUUUACCUCCCUCUCAUGCAAGCGUCCAGGUUUUCAAGAUAGAUGGUCCUCGCUUCAUCAAGCUAAACGAAGGAACUUGGCACGCUGGUCCUCUCUUUGGCGAUCGAGAUUCGAUGGUCUUCUACAACUUGGAGCUCAGUGACACCAACGUAAAAUCAUUCGAUCGAGCUUGUAGUUACCAUGACUUAUGUUUUCUCCUUUUUCUUGUUGCAGGUUGUGGAUCACACUACCCACGUGUUUGAGGACGACGUACUGAUCGAAGAUUGAGGUACAGAGCCUUGGCAUUUCAUGUGAUAUUCGAGCGUGAUUUUUGUGCUAGGUGCUGGCGAGCUGAAACACUUUUUUUGCGUGUCUAGAAAAGCAAAUGGUGGAAAUGAAACAAGUUCUUUGCGAGCUAAGAAUUUCAUGUCCCUUGCCAUCAAGUUGUCGAGGAGCUCCUUUUGUGCCUCGGGACACUGACUAGUAGUUGAAGGAUGUACAAGAUGAGGCUGAUGAUCCUGGUCGGAAGAAAAUUUACGAACGGGAUGACUCCCACAGACCAUGGCGUCAACUCCCUGGUAUAAAUCUUUCUUAAUUGAACUGUAACACUGUUAGAAUUCUGUGCAGGGUGCUGAUUAUGGUCGAAAGCCUGCUUUGUCGAACACGAGCGAACGGAUGCUGAGAGUAUUCAUGUAAUUUGCCUCCUGCCAGUCCAGCUUGCUACUUCCGCCAAGAACUCGGGUUACCUCAGUCAACAGCAAGAUGGAAAUGUUCCAGAAGUCUUUCUUCUUCAUGUCGGUCACAAACUCGAGCGGUGGAUGAUAUCCUUUGAAAGGUUUUGCUGCUCCUGAAACUUAUUGUUAUUUCAGCUCUUCGUGGUUCUGAUUUUAAUAAUCUAACUUUCGUGACAGCGGAAAAGUACGAACUCUAUGCUUGGAAAGUUUCAAAUCAGUGUGGAGUACAAUUUCAGAAAGGAGAUCUUCUAUGCAGUGAAGGAAGCUUUAUUUUUCAUGUUGAUUAAUGUUUUCUUUCCUAUUUAGAGUUCUGUUAGUGAAUUACAAUUGCGUGAGCGAAGUUGCUGCGACUUCAGAUCUCCUUUGAAGUAAGCUGCUUCAUUUUUGGAUGUUGAUUGAUUUUUUUCUUUCUUUUUUUAGAGUUUACGUGAGCAAGUUGCUGAAACUGAAUUUGUAUUUUUACAAUCGAGGUAUGAUUUUUGGUUUUUUUUUUGGAAAAGGUGAAGCUACAGCCUAUGUAAGUUCAAUAGGGCGCUGUUGACGAGCUCCUCGAGGCUUCUGGAAUGCUUCGUAAGUCCCACAAAACCCGAAAACGUUAAGAAGUUUUCUUCGUCUGAGGCAGUCGCUGACAUUGCUUCCAGGGACGCCUCCACUUCACCGUCUUCUCUAAAACGUCGCAAGAACCUGGCGUCCUUUGCCAUCAAGCUGUUCAGAAGCUCUACGCUAUAUCGCCGGAUACGAUUCAAGCUCCUAGAAGGUGCUGUCUGGGAUAGAAGCUCUGUGAUUUUUUCGCAAAGCCGUGAUUGUUGCGAUAGCACGCCUUGUUCAAAGUUACGUGUGUCGAGCCAGGGGAUUAUGGCUGCUGCCAAACCGAUGGCUGCCUGCUGUUCCUUGUCCGUGGAUUCCAGCACCAUCUGGAUGAUGCGAGAUAUGGCUGCUCCAAGCUCCAACUUUUCUUCGUCGUUAAGGUCACCGCACAAGCUUCGCAAAAUUGUGGCUGCAUGGACUCCAACUGGCUUGGUGAGCAUGUUGAUCAAGUUCUUGAGGGUCUUGCUAACGCCACCUUUUCUGUAGCUUUUGUGCAUGAGGAGCCUCGAGCAAUUGUUGGGACACUGGAGAACGAGCACAACUAUGGCUUCCCCGGCUCCAAUGGCGAUGGUCAACUUGUUUGGUGCGGUUUCUCUCGCAAAUAUGGCCAUCAAGCUUUGGAUAACUCCUCCAGUCGCGCCAAUGCAAUCUCUAAGCUCGUCCUCGGUUGCUAGCAGCUUGAUCACGUCUACUGCCAGGUUUUGUAGCUCCAAAUCUUCGAGAUUGCAUAUCCUUUGAAGACUUCUUACUGCUGACACUACCGAAACUAUCUUCUUUCGCAGUGACCGUCCAGAAUCUCCUCCCACGCGAGCCAAUGUCCUCAAAAGCUCGAGUGAUCGACGGAAUACUUCUCUCGACGUUUGUGCUCUGGGGAAGUGCCAGUCUUCGUCUUGGAUAAAUUCAACCAGGAUGGAGAUAAGUCCGCUGGUGUUACCGAUUCGCACGCAUAUCCUGUGGUCCACGGCUAGCCCGUUGAGGAUAGUGAGUCUGUAGCUCUUUUCUUCUAGCACUUCCUCCUCUCUUGCGGCUAAAAGAGCAGUGAGGGCCUCCAGGGAUCCAGGGAUAGCGGAAAUCCUGAAGCAGUUACGGCGGUGACGAACCAGGUGCUUGAUUACUAUGGUUGCAGCUUUCCUGAUUUCGGCCUCACUAGGAUCCUUCCAGGUGAUCAUCUCUAAGAGUCUCUCCACAACUCCGGGCGUGGUACCAAUCCUCCGUCGCGUUUCUUUUAUUGAAUCUCCUUUUGAGACAAGAGCUGACAGUAUGUUGACGCUACCGAGCUGCUCUUCCCUUAUGCUUGACUGCAGCUUCUCGACGGUGAAAUCGAUAAGGUCCAUUCCCAGGCCAUCAAACACGCUUCCGUUCAGCGAUCGUGAGUACAAUGUGUACCAGUACUGCUUCAUGGUUUCAAUGUCGACUUGAUCAAGCUCACACGUUCGAGUGACUACUUCCAGCAACCUCUGGUAACGAAGCUUGAAUUCCCAAUAUGCUCUCUCCAGGAGGAAUAGCGACGUUUCUGCCAGCAUCAUCGCGUAAAACACCGUAAGUGCUUGCUCAGUGUUUUUUCCUUGGGCAUUGAAGCCGUGCUCGGCAAGUCGAUAUACUGAGAAACAUACGGUGACUGUUGCAGAAGCAAGCUGGAGCAAGUACAUGAAAAGGCUGAUGAUCCUGGUGGGGAGGAACUUUACAUACGGCAGGAGCGGGACGCUUCCCACGGACCAAGUUCUUCGGGCACCGAAUCCCUGGUAUAAAUCUUUCUUUACUGGUUUUUUGGAAAGUCGAUCUCUGCUAACGUUCUGUUCAGGGUGGUCACGGUCGAAGGCUGCAGAGAACGUCUGCCUUAAUCUGGCGCUCUUGUCGAACAGGAACGAUCUGAAGCCGAGAAUUCCCAAGCUGUAAUUUGCCUGCUGCCAUUCCAACUCGCUACUUCGACUGAAAACCCGCGUUCCUUCAGUCAGCAGCACGGCCGAUAUCGUCCAAAAGUCUUUGGCCUGAAUGUUGCUCACGAAUCCACCGAGGAGAACAACAGUUGCCCAGACGAAGGCCAGUUUCCCGAGGCCAGUGGCGAACUUUUCAAGAACUGCGAGCCUGAAAGCUAUCAGAUUGAGACGCUGCUCUGGUGAUUGGGAAUUAGCUGAAGGCUGGGCAGUGGAAGACUGCUGCCCUCGUCGUCUUAAAUAACUCCAUUUCACUGGAGCUGAAGGCUUGGGAGUGGAAGACUGCUGCUCGACUUCCGGAUGUGGAGAAAAAACCGACCACAACUCACUGGUGUUGAGGGUUCUAGUGCCUGAAGGUGGAGAAGGUGGAGUAGCGAGAGCAGAGCCGGAAGAAGGAACUUGAAUGGUUAUCUCGUCCGCAAAGUGAACGGUACUCUUGGGGGCACCGGCAGACUGUCUGCUGUUCCUCGAAUCCAUGUUUAGUGUUCGAGGAGUUCUGGGCAUUUGAGGAGGCAGCUGUUGCGUGGGUCCAGCUAAGACUGGUGACCGUGGUAUUGACGACUUCAAAGCCGCUUGAAUGUCUUUCUCAUGUUGCUGGCAUAAGCAAGUAAGCUAGAGACAAGGAGUGGAAUGAGAUUUGGGAUGAAAAAAUAUUCAUGAGAAAAGAACAAAGCUUGAAUUUUUUGACCCCUCAACGAAAGGAAGCUAAAGACUCGUAUAGGGAUCUACAAAACCUGUGCCAUGCUUGUCCCGCCAUGCAAACAUCACUCCCUUUCUUGCUCGUUAAAUCGCGGUAGGAUCUCUCAAGAACAUGACCACUAUACUGUUGAUGACUAUCGCUACAGUAGGAUGGACUUUGUGGUAUAGCUUGGGCUGGUGCUCUCCACAGAAGCAGCACGAACUACACAGGAGGAAGAAAGAAAAAGUAGAGAAGAAAGCGAAGAAGAAUCAAUGAAGAAGACGAAGAAAGGAGCUAAUUACUGCUGUCCGUGAAGAUGAGUGGAGAGCAACUUCAAAGAGCUAAAACUUUCACACGACAAACGGUCAGACGGGAAACUGGAGCGAUCUGGCACUAGUGCUGCGAUUCCAGAUCGAUCAAUGUUGUUUGACAACAAUGAUCUGACACACACAAGACUGUUUUCUUCGUCGGUAAAGCCCUUUCUACUGUUGCACAACAAACUAUCGCACAGCCGUGGAAGGGAAUAAUAGUAUAUAGAAACCUGUUGUAUCUUGUAUUGCUCUAUAAAUUCUCCAUAAAGUUAAAAGCUUCUUCUUCCAGGCCUAGAGAAAAGUCGGCUUCAAACACGCGGCAUGGCCAUCUUUUAGUGUGUACUGUGCAGAACUCUCCCUUUCAACCAGGUCUUAUAGUUUGCCACUUACUUGGGAAAGAAAAAACUGGAUAUUUCUUCUCACAUAGUGAUGUUUCUAUUGUAUACUUAAGAACCUUGUGUUGGCUCAAGGAGUAGUACUAUGAAGUGGUGUAACGAAUGCAAAGCUUGGACAGGGCAGACUGCUACUGAACACUAUUGCCACUGCCACAAGCCUCAAAUUUGCAGGGCAAUUAAGUUUAGCAUUUUGCAGGGAUUUUAAAUAAAUAAGGCUACAUAUAAAAAUAUAAUAUGUACUUCUAAUGUUGAAAUUGUUUAAUUUUCUUAUAUUAACACUUGAUCAUGAUCCUACACAUUUAUAAAACUAAGUCAACCCACAUCACUUGGUGUUGGGUUUCAUAUAUUAUAGUGAUAUUUAAAUAUGCCAUCUAAUAUAUUCUAGUUUAAUAUUUAAAUUUAUAAAACAGAAUAAGUUUAGGUAAAGUUGAUUAAUUUAUUAGUAAAGCAUUAAAAAUAAAGCUGUUCACUUAAAAAUAAAUAUUCACUCAACCUGACAAACAUACCGACCAACAUGAAACCAGAAUUCAAAUCUUUGGCAGUUUUGGAUGUUGAUCUAGUGAUGCCACCAAAGAUAUACAUCAUUUAUCAUGGGUACAACUUGUCAUUGGUUAAAUUAGCAAGAACACUAUGCAUUGCCAUCUGGAUAACAUAAAAUCUUUUGAUACCACACUUCCUAACAAGAGAUAGAACCUACUGUCAAAGUUUGGUCAGCACUCAACACCGAAUGUCCCAAUCUUUGCACCUAUGAAUUGUAAAGAAAGUAAAAAACUUACCAUUUUGGUGGCCAUGUGAAUCUGCCACAAUGAGAAGAAUGUAAGCUGCUUCUCUGAUGCCAGUGGUUGAGAAACUACAUGCCAAGCAAUUCUUCAAUAUGGUGCCCAACAUAAUCCUCCCAAUAGAAAGAUCACAAAGAAUGUCACCAUCCAAGCAUAAAUUUAAGCUAAGGAUCAAUUGCCACAGCUACUGCUGCAAGCUUGUGGUUUAGACAUGUUGCUAGAGGCAUCAGACCACCAUACUGUCGAAGCAACUUUGCCUUGAAUCCAAAGAAACAAAACAAAACAAAAUAAAAAUGAAGAAGAGAGAAAAAAAGUAUCUGCAAUCUUAGUGACUCUCCUAAAAUCUUUCCAUCGCUAGUGACUUGAUAAGAAGUUUGAGAAAAUGCAAUCUCACUAUAAGAAAAUCAACUUACAACAGCAGCUCCAGUGGCAUCAUAGCUCAUCUCAAUUCCCAAAAUAGGUAGCAAACCAGUAGCUAUAGUGAGAAAAUAAGGGUGUCAUGUAGGAAUUUGCACAUUUGGGAUGAAAUUGUGAGGUGCCAUUGCCAGGGAUUGGCAAGAGCACAUGCCAAAGCUCACAAGACCUUAAAUUGAGGGAAAGAAAUUCACAUAUUAAGCUUGAAUCACAACUUAAAGGCACCAAUAGUCAGGUUUGCUAUCACAGUAAACACUCUCCACUAAACUUUAGAACUUACCUUCUCAAUUUCAAAGGGUCUCCAUUACAAAAGGUUGAAUGUUAAUACCGGUUAACACUUUACAUGUGAUAUGUUGCCUAGCAAAUGCUAAGUGAGUAUAAAAAUCAAUAAUUUUAUACUGUUUUUUCCUUCUGAUAUCUCUAUAUACACACACAAUACUAUAUAACAUAGACCAUAUAUUUAGAAUAUUAAUAUAUCCCUAAAGUGAGAAAAGAAAAAUUAGUAAGUAAAUAUUAGUAAUAAAUAUAAUAUAUGCAAAGUACUACUUGGGAAUAUGAAUAUAUUUAGAAUAUUAAAAUUUUAUGAAACUUAAUACAAGGAAAUGACCAACAAAGUUAGCCGCCCUUGCUACUCUGGGAGUCACCCAGCUUACAAAAGUGUAAAAACAAAAAUUGUUAAGAAUAACUCUUUUAUAGUUAUUAGAUUAUAAAUAUAUUUAGUCAAAAAAAUUAAAUGAAGAAUUACUAAAAAAUAUUUUUCUUAAUUAGAUGUUACAUGUAAAGUAUGUUUUUACUUGGAGUCAAACAAAUUUAGAAUCCUGAAAUGGUAAAAAACUAAUAUAUUAAUACCCAGACUAAAAUAAAAGUAAAGAAGAAUUACUAAGAUUAACUAUUAUUAAUUUGGGAAAGCAUUAUUUAAUUAUUAUGUGCUUACUUGGAAUAUGAAUAAAUAUAUAACUAAAACUUUAAGAACAUUAAUAUAUUACUCAGAUCCUAUAGAGGAUUGCUCAAUUAAAAAAAAACAGCACUAUUGAAAAAUUAAAGUCUAACCUAGAAAUAAAAAAUUAUAUAUACCCUUAAACUCAAAAAUAUUAAGAACACUAAUACUACUAUGCAGACCCAAGUAAAAUUAAGAAAAGAAUUACAAAAAAUAAAUAAUAUACAUAUUAAACACAAACUAUAAAUUCAAAACCUAAUAAACUAUAUUUGUUCUUAGUCAAAAGAUUUAUAAACGUGUUUAAUGGUAACUGUCAACCUCAUGUUUGAAAUGUAAGUUUCAUGCCCAUAUAUAAUUGCUGUAAUUGCCCAAUCAAUAUAUCAUCAAUACAUGAUUACAAAGAAGAAAAAUGUAUGAGAGGCUAAAUGGCAUCUUCCAGUUCCUCUCCAGUGCUCACCUCUGUCGUCACUAGUGGAGGCGCUGGGGGCUCGCAUCCUAUGGUGGAUCUAGAGCCUGCAGCUCCAGAUCUGCUGCUGGUGCCUGUUCUUGCGGGGAUUGGGAGCCUCAACUUCACUGGCCAUUUACUCGCUCUCCUUUAGGGCUAUGCCCUUUCCCUAAAGCAGCGGUAGAGAUCUUCCAUGCCAGGAGCAACAGUGGCGAGACUGUAGAAAGGCAUCCCAUUAAGCUCUGGAUCUACUGCUGGCACUUGUUCCCAUGGAGAUUGCUGUGGCGAUUGAGGGAGAUCUUUGGGUGGGAGAUCUCUACCUGGGAGAUCUGGGAGCUGCAGCUUCACUAACCAUUUACUUGAGCGCAUUGCUCUCUAAUUUCAGGAAAGACACAAUCUAGUCAACACUUUGCAUGUGCCACAUGUCACAAUGCUUUUUUCUCUUGCCCCACACAGCUUGGCCGCCUCCCAUUGGCCGAGAGCAAACAUCAGCACGAUUAUUCACUAAGACAUGGUUAAAGAAAUAACCCCUUUACAGUUACCCCCCAUCGGACGGCUGCAAUUGGCUGAAUCCGGCGGCCCAGAAAGUUUGGCACUCCCACUUUAUUAUGAUAGAUUCUUUGGGCUGAACAAUUUUGUAGCAUUGAACAUGCCUAUAUCCUUUUUUAUUCUGGCUAGCAUAUCAAUGUAUAGUUUCUAAACACACUCUUUGUUUAAAUCUAAGCAAGAGCUCAUGCUCCCAUCUCUUUUGCUCUCUGGAAUAGGAGUAUAAUUUAAGGCAUGUUUAUGUUAUUCCCCUUUAGUAUCUAUAAACUUGAUAAAUUCAUCUUUAGUAGCCUCCACAAAAUUAAGUGUUUCACACCAAAAGUCUCUUUUAGAAAUUUUCUUCUGAUACUUUUCAAAGUACCAUUUAAAUACCUAGCAAUGCUAGCAAUAUCCACAAUUUUAACUUUGAAAGAUUUUGUUCAGACUAUUCAAUUUUAGAAGUAUAUCAGAUAGCAUAUGAAUAGCAAAUUGCAUUGUGUAAUUUGUCAAAAAUUGAUAUAUCUUCAUAGAAGAGAAUUAAAAUUCUAUAAGAAGACUUGGUAUUAUGAUGUUCAUUUUCUUUAAGACUUUCUCAUGAGAUAACUAAUGUACACCGUGGAUUUGAAGUAUACCAAAUGCAAAUAUAUUCAUAGCAUCUUCUAGAGGCUUAAAAGUUAUAACUCUUUUUCUAGAAGUAUGCAACUAUUUAUAAAUUUGAUUGCACAACUUUUGAACAACCACAAACUUAAGAAAUGUAUACACAAUUUCAAUAGCCACUAAACUUUAUCUAUGCACUAAGUAAUGCACUCCAAGCAAGUGUGGAAUGUUAUGUUUCAAUCCUGUCAUUAGGCUAAAUUGUUCUUUAACCAUAAUAAAAGCUCCAUCAGUUUUAAUAGCAACACAUUUUCCCUUUUUAAGGUUCAUUUCUUCCAAAACCUUUUGAUGGCCUCAUAUUUACUUACAGCCUUUAGUUACCAUCAAUUUCAAAAAACAAGUUUUAUUCGGACUUUUUUCUUCUUCUUGCAUAUGGAAAGAGAUGUAUAUGAUAAGAUGAGCUUUCAAACUUCUAUUAGUAUUGUUAUCCACUAUAAUAGAAAAUUAAGGACUAGCUUGAAUAUCUUGGCAAACAUCUUUCCAUCACACAUUUUUUAUGCAUUUUAAAAACUUUUUCUCACUCAUAGCAUUUACACAAGUCCUAUACUCUAUGGUGAUUAGCAUAUAGGGCAUUCCCAUAAACCUGCUAAAUUCACACAAAGAUUUAUAGCUUUGUAAAGGUAAUCCCUUAUUCACAAUGAAGUACAUAUGUUGCAUUAAGGAAAUCAAUUUGUUCUUGUAUUGAUUUUCUUGAGUAGUAACAUAUUUAGGGAUAGAUAACCCUUUCUUUUUCUUUGUUUCCCAAAUAACCAUAACUAGUUGAUGUUGUUUAGAAUUGUUAUGCUUUUUUAAAAUUGAUUUUUGAAGAGUCAAAGAACCAUCUAUACUAAAAGGAUUAUCUUUUUAGCAUAUACAUAUGCCGUACAUUUUAUUCUUUGCUUGCCUUCAACAUCCACUAUAAAAUACACCCAAGGAAAAUUGAAUUUCCACUCAAUUUUGAAUGUUCUAUUCUUUUUCCUUUUUUGAUUAGUUGAAGUAUUAGUUUUUUCUUUUGUUGUUGAAAGAUCUUCAUCCUCUAAUCUAAUUUUAAGUCUUUUACCAAAAAGGGAAUCAUGAAGCUCUUGCCUUGCAAUAUUUUGCUAAUUUAUCUUUCUUUUCUCCCUCCCAUACACAAUAGCAAAGAAUGCUUCAAUCCCAUGUUAUUGCUGUCAACUUCAUUGAAUUCAGGUGGUUAGACACCAGGAUAUUCUUACAAUAUUCUAAUAAUAUUCAAUAGAAUAUUAUCUGUACUGCAAUGUGCGAAUUUUCUUUGCCCUGCAAGUGGCAACACUAAAAUAUUUCUAUACUUCAUUAGUGCAAAGUGAAAAUUGAACAAUUCUUUCAAGUAGCAAGGCAAAUUAGAAAUUAGUCUUCAAAUGCAAGGUAAACAUGCCUUUGCAAGGCUUUGCAAGGUGCAAAUUUGAGACCUGCAUUGUCAUCCCUAAAUGUGAUUUGGGUGCCACAGUUCUAAAGAGACUGCUGCUAUCGGAGAGCUUACGGGGAUGUUGAGAUAUUGCUGUAAGUUCCUUCAUGCACUUCAUAGUGAUAGUAAAUGCCUUGUGAUGGCAUCUUAAACUCGUACCGUGGCAUCUGCAUUGCCAGUUCAAAGAUUAAAUAGCCCACAACCAAGAACAAAGUGAAGAAAAUGAGAAAACUCUAAGAAUGUUGCUGUCCCCUUAAGUUUCUCUGGCCAUAAAUUCGCUGCUACAAUAGCUUAUAUCCUUUCUACGCUUUAAGUUUCAGUGCCCGUAGCGGAUAGAUGUCGUUUGGACACUGUUGACCACAAUUGACUAUCGUUGACCAAUGGACCGUUGAAUGGUUUGUCUUUGCUGACUAUGCUGGAUAUUGCCAGGGCUAGGGUUCUUCGAUGGGGCUCAAGCUGCGAGCAGUGCCGAUCACGGAGGUGAAUUUCCGGCCUUUUGGCCAGCUCCUGGGAAAGAUCGGCGACGGAUGCGAGUAUGGAUCGGGAGACGCGCAGCUCAAUCUCGCGAAUGGGAUUCCCAGGUAGUGCAGGCAAAAUGUGGCCGAAAUUUCCAGCGGCUCAGUAGUGAUUGAGUGAGUGAUGGUUCCUUUGCGCAGAUUCUACCUCAUGGAGCUCAAGAAAACGGGGCUGCGAUUCAAAAGGAUAACGCAUCACGCCAGGGUCACGCAGUGUCUGGGAUCAGUGGGAGCUCAUCCUUGGUACAUGGCGGUCUCUCUUCCCAGCAUUGUGGAUCCUUCAUCGUAACACGAGGGCGCUGUUCGAUCCAACGCUGGUGGCCACUACUAUUUACCUCCCUCUCAUGCAAGCGUCCAGGUUUUCAAGAUAGAUGGUCCUCGCUUCAUCAAGCUAAACGAAGGAACUUGGCACGCUGGUCCUCUCUUCGAUGAUCGAGAUUCGAUGGUCUUCUACAACUUGGAGCUCAGUGACACCAACGUAAGAUCAUUUGAUCGAGCUUGU
rnacentral:lncRNA from 1 species